rnacentral:rRNA from 1 species
AACCCCUGUGAACAUACCAAUUGUUGCCUCGGCGGAUCAGCCCGCUCCCGGUAAAACGGGACGGCCCGCCAGAGGACCCCUAAACUCUGUUUCUAUAUGUAACUUCUGAGUAAAACCAUAAAUAAAUCAAAACUUUCAACAACGGAUCUCUUGGUUCUGGCAUCGAUGAAGAACGCAGCAAAAUGCGAUAAGUAAUGUGAAUUGCAGAAUUCAGUGAAUCAUCGAAUCUUUGAACGCACAUUGCGCCCGCCAGUAUUCUGGCGGGCAUGCCUGUUCGAGCGUCAUUUCAACCCUCAAGCCCAGCUUGGUGUUGGGACUCGCGAGUCAAAUCGCGUUCCCCAAAUUGAUUGGCGGUCACGUCGAGCUUCCAUAGCGUAGUAGUAAAACCCUCGUUACUGGUAAUCGUCGCGGCCACGCCGUUAAACCCCAACUUCUGAAUGUUGACCUCGGAUCA